rnacentral:lncRNA from 1 species
UUGAAAUAGCGAUGUGGGGUGGUUUGUUUUUGAAAGGAUGUGUAAGAUGUCAGGGCAAAAAGUCCUACUGAUAUUUAUUUGGAAGGGGGCUGAGUCCUGAUCUAUCUUUGUCAUCCCAGACCUUUGCCAUGACAGGUGCGCUUGCAUGGCAGGUCACCCAAGCUUAAUAAAAAUUCAACUUUUUUGGUGUUUUUGAGGGGAGUUCGCACGGGGGUUGCCCGGGUUCUCCCCUCUGCUGUGGUGUGGUGUCGUGUUUCCUGCUCUUUUUAGUCUCUUUCUUUUCCCUCUCGCUUUCCAUUAUUUGCAUCCACAAUUAGUCCCUUUGAUACUCUGCACAAUACGGGAUGGAUGCAUGAUCCGCAUCACCACCAACAUCGGAAUAAGCUUAUGAUCUCCAAGUCAUUGACUCUACUACUUGCAAAUCCCAAGGCCAAGGUAUUAUUUUUACAUAUUUUUAACCAAAAUUCGCCUUAUCUAAUUUUACUUUAAAAUUUAAAUAUUGGCAAGUUAUUAUGCAACUAGAUUUAUCAAUAAUUUUGACAACAUGCAACAAUCACAAUUAGUCUUUGGUAUUAAAGUAUAUUUAUAAUUGGUCAUAGAUUUAGCCCUCAUCUUAGAGAAAAGGUCACGUGGUCAUUUAUUCAAGUUCCUUUAACAUGAUUUUUAAUUACUCAUUUCCGUUUUUGAUAAAGCUUUAUAAUUAUUUUGAUUUAAUCUUGUUUUCUAAAGUUAGGCAAUACUAAGUUACUCUUUUCCUAAUUUCUAAUUCUUAGAAAACUGUAAUUUUUAAAAUCAUCAAUUUAAUAUCUCUUUUACUAAUUUCUGAUUCUUAGAAAACCGUAAUUUUUAAAACCAACAAUUUAAUUUUAUAUUAAGUAUUUAAUUUUAAUCAUAUCAUGAGUUUAAUAUAAAAUAAUUCUAGAUAUUUUAUUUUUAUUUCUUUUGCUAAUUUUUCAUUCUUAAGAGAAGCUUAAUUUAAAAAACCAAUUUAACCUUAUAAUAAAUUAGAGUAAUUUAAUUUUAUUAUCGUGGUUAAUAAAAUAAUUGUAGAAUGAUUUUUAUUUACAUUAAUAAAUUUUUUAACCUUGGGUGGUGGCAUCCAUGAGAAUUGAAUUUAAUAAUUUGGAACUCAGUAAUUGUGGUUUUGUGUUGUACUUAUAAAUGAGAAGUUGAUCUGAAAAUAAAAAUUGCAAUUCUUAGCAUAGAGCAAUCACCAUUUCAAACAACUGUUAUGCCUACCAUUAGACCCCUAUACAAAGUGCUGACAAUGCUACUCUAUGCAUUACCAUAUUCAUAUUUUAUCUGAAGGAUAUAUCUGCCAAUGCAUCUAAGUUUUCCACCAUUGUACGUUUAUCCCUUACGUAAUGGUCAAUUUUCCUGUGAUUCGAUCAUGAUUAUUCUAUUUCGAGGCUUACUUCCAUCUUAUAUUAUAGUGCUUUGGAAAAAAGUUGGAUGCGCUUGACUUGCUUGCUUAUGCUAUUUUUUCAUUUUUAUAAUUUCAUAUUGCUUUUUGAGGCGAAAUGCAUUGAGUAUAUCAGUAGUGUUUUGCUAGUUUAUUACGAAACUGUAUACUAGGAGGAGAAUGAUAUAUGUAGGUUGAGGCAGUAUGCGUAUUUUGCUUGUAUUGCUCUUUGUAGU